rnacentral:rRNA from 1 species
UACGAAGGGGGCUAGCGUUGCUCGGAAUCACUGGGCGUAAAGGGUGCGUAGGCGGGUCUUUAAGUCAGGGGUGAAAUCCUGGAGCUCAACUCCAGAACUGGCCUUUGAUACUGAAGAUCUUGAGUUCGGGAGAGGUGAGUGGAACUGCGAGUGUAGAGGUGAAAUUCGUAGAUAUUCGCAAGAACACCAGUGGCGAAGGCGGCUCACUGGCCCGGUACUGACGCUGAGGUGCGAAAGCGUGGGGAG